UGUUUCGAUUAGAAAAGGAUGACAGGUGCAUCAUAUUGGAGUUACCAACGUGUGUGCUUUCUGAAAUCCUAAAUGAAGUGGUACUACAGGAAGGAGAUAAGGCAUACUUAAGAUUGGCUCUUGUGUGUCCACUGACUCCUUCAGGAGACGGGCACAUUUUCAGUGGCUUGACAGUGUCGCUACAUGGAGCAGGUUUUCUGAGUCCUAAA